rnacentral:rRNA from 1 species
UACAGAGGUCUCAAGCGUUGUUCGGAUUCAUUGGGCGUAAAGGGCGCGUAGGCGGCUUGGUAAGUCCGUUGUGAAAUCCCUCGGCUCAACCGAGGAACUGCGACGGAUACUGCUUGGCUUGAGUCCCGGAGAGGGUAGCGGAAUUCCCAGUGUAGCGGUGAAAUGCGUAGAUAUUGGGAGGAACAUCGGUGGCGAAGGCGGCUACCUGGACGGGUACUGACGCUGAUGCGCGAAAGCUAGGGGAGCAAACAGG